ensembl:lncRNA LINC03007 long intergenic non-protein coding RNA 3007
AAAUGAUCUCAGCUUCAGUAUCUCGAGUAAGAAACCUUUCUUCCCUGUGUUGUCUUAUCUUUCCAUUGAUCUUCUGUUGUGGGAGCAGCUGCAGGCUCCCCACCCUGUGAGAGCUUUCGUGUGCCAAGUCAUUGGCUACAGGUGGCAAAGUUGUGGCUCCAGUUCAAGUCUCUCCCCUGGAGCUGGAUGUUCCAGAAAGGACACUCAGUUCUUCAGGGCUGUCUCUGUGAUCCAGGCUUUGAUCUGGGAAAGGUUGCGCCUCAUUGCAGAGUUGAAGCUAUCUGCCUGCUUUGUUUACACGAACGCCCUUCCAGGACUCUGUCUGCUUUUGGGGUGGAAGUGCCCUGCCAAAAACUCCAGCUCUCCAUGCUGGCUGUGUGGCCAGCAUACCUCCUGCCUUUUCAACGAUUCCUCUGCCCUGGAUAGAGAGCGGUGUCUCAUAACAGUUUGGAAACUACAAAAGUUUCCCUGGCAGGAUGAAUGAUUGACUCGGCAACAUGUUCUUGCCUUUUGGAGUUGCCCUCCAAUUUUUCCAGGCUUGAUUCUGUAAAUCAUUUCAUCUUGUAAAAAUACUGGGCUGUGAGCACGGAUGAUCUCAAAGAUGAGGAAACAGAAGCUGGGAUAUGUGAGUAAACAUUUCCAAGGUCCUGCAGCUAAUCAAUGGUUGACAACUUCUUUCCUCUGCCUAUGUUGCCAUCCAUGUCAUGGUUUGUGUCAAGACUCUAGGAGAAGUCUACCAUCAGCACCACAGCUACUGUGCACAAAUCCAGAAUGCCAGACUGAAGUCAGAAGGAAAGAGAUGAUGCAGCUCAUUGCUGAUGCUGAGAUCCAACGUCCAGUGCCUGAGUACCCCUGGAUUCUGAGCACUAGGGGCUGGACUGUGGAGACCAUCAGUUCAUAACAUCCUGUCCCUGCUCCCUGCUGUAGAUGACUGAGACCAGAAAGAAGAUUGGAAAAAUCUCCCAUGACCAAGGAAAAUUGUGAAAAAUAUUUCUGAUAUUUUGUCUAUGCAUUUUAUUUUUGAGGGUGUUUUUUAUAUUAGUGUGACUAUUUUGUAUUUCCUACCCUGUUGUAAACUUUUUAAAAAUUGCUCUUACAGUUAUUACUAAGUAUAUGAUUUAAAAUCCCUAAUUAGGGUUCUUAAACAAGGGAGAAGCACUCUCAUACCCCUAGAACAAGAUGAACAAAAGAAGGAGGAAAAAUCUUGACCUCCGUAAGAUCCAGGAUGGCACGUGCAAGGCACUGACACAGCAUCUGCCGGCAUCACUGACUCUCCUGGACCCCAGAAGCCCAGUUCCCCAGGCUCUGAAACCCUGCAGCAAUGAAAAGGAAGCACAGGCAAACCAUAAGGAAGAUAAUUUUUCUACUAAAAAAUAAAUAGAAAUGCAUCCUUAGAGGCAGGUUUCAUGAGGACACAGAGAAUCCGGUUUUGUGUGUGCCUGAUUUCGUUUUUCUGUCAAAGAGAUACAAAACAAUCAACUGAGUUAUCUUGAACUUACAAAGAUUAAAAAUAAUCAAUUCCUGUUACUAUUUUCAAUUUUUCCCCCAUUUUACUUCUUUAGGUAUGAAGAAAUGUAGCCUAUUAAAACCUGGAUUAAUAAAAACCUUUCAUUAACUUUUAGAAGGUGUGUGAUAACGAAAUCAGUGUAUGUCCAAUAACCUUGUCCAGUGACUAUGAAUUCAGGCCAAUUAAUUAGUGAUUCUCAACCUUGGGAUGAGUUUGGGGGUGGGAGUGGGAUGGAGGUGAAGCCUACACUUAGUAAAGAAGAUGUAUCUAGUA